rnacentral:rRNA from 1 species
AAUACCCAAUCCUGACACAGGGAGGUAGUGACAAGAAAUAACAAUACGGGGCUUAAUGUCUUGUAAUUGGAAUGAUGGGAAUUUAAACCUCUUCCAGAGUAUCAAUUGGAGGGCAAGUCUGGUGCCAGCAGCCGCGGUAAUUCCAGCUCCAAUAGCGUAUAUUAAAAUUGUUGCAGUUAAAAAGCUCGUAGUUGAAUUUCUGCUGCAUUGCAUUUUCUCCUAUACGAGUUUUUGCAUUGUGGCUUAUUUCGGUUAUAAAAUUUAUUUUUAUUUCCGGAUGUUUACUUUGAGAAAAUUAGAGUGCUCAAAGCAGGCUUUUGCCUUGAAUAGUUUAGCAUGGAAUAAUAAAGUAGGACUUUGGUUCUAUUUUGUUGGUUUUAGGUACCAAAGUAAUGGUUAAUAGGAACAGUUGGGGGCAUUCGUAUUUAA